rnacentral:lncRNA from 1 species
AAAGGACUGAAAGCUGAGGACUUUGAUUGGAUGAAAAGCAUGUCAAUCUGCACUUAUCAGCAAAUGAGCUUAGAGCUCAUGAAUGAGGGUAGCUGCCUUUUGUCAAACUUUUCGAAUUCUGCUCCAAUAACCGACAGUCUGAAUCUUUCCCACCGUAUUCGUGGCCAUUUCAGGAAUAGUGAUCUAUUCCUCUGGCUGGUCCCCUUUAUUUCCUAUCUCAGUGCCGCCACCAGCACCAUGACAGUCCGUUGUACUCUGUGCUGCCCCCACCAAAUCCCGGCAUGCCUUGGGGCCAACGAUCACUCUCUCAGUGGCCGUUACUUAAGCCGCCGCCAUCUUUGCUGCUUUAGUCACAGCAGUUCCUCUCACAGCGCUGGUUGAGGUCCUGACUGGUGUUGUCCCUAUCGCCAUGUCUCCCACAAGAAGGGGAGCUCAGGGACCACGCGGCCAGAAUGAAGCUGGCGGAGAGGCGGUCCAGAACCCUAGAUCCUUCUGGGGCACUCUGUUGUUUGUGGAAUGGGUGGCCACCAUCACAGGGGCCCUGGCUUCUAGGGCUUUCCAAGUGGUUGUAAACGCCCUUAGGGAAAAGGAGGAGGAAGGACAGGAGGCAGCCCAGACCGAGGCUGAGGAGAGUGGGGAUAUACAGCCAGUAGAAGGCGAUGAGGAGAAAGUGCUGAGAGAGGAGGAAGACGAGGAGGAGUAUGGGGAAGGAGAAAAAGAGGUUGAUGAUAAGGAGGAGGAAGAAGUUGAGGAUGACGACGAUGAGGAGGAGGAAGGAGAGGAGGAAGAAAUUGAGGAGGAGGAGGGAGAAGUAGGGGAGAAGGAAAGAACAAUUGUAGAGCAGGAUAAGGACAAAGACGAAGGCGAGGCUGAGGAUGACGACGGCAGAGAGAAGGAAGAAAGUAAAAAUGAUGAGGAUGAGGAGAAAGUGCACUACCUCAAGGGUGAACAAGAUGCGAGCGCCUAUUUUCCCGAGACUAGAGUACUGGAAGGUACUACCAAGAGUAAGCUGCGAAACUAUUUGUGUGACUUUCUGGAUUCAAAGUUCAUAUUCUUCAGUGAAGAGGAGUCUGAAGGCAAGGAUGAAGACUCUGCUGAAGAGUUUGAAGAAUCUGAAAGCAAGCGAGAGGAUGACGAUGAAGAAAGAGGACGCAGAAAGGAUCGCCACUCAAAAGGCAGCUUCUUUUAGGAAGCCAGCUGAGAGACAUAGAAAGAAGUGGAUGGAGAAAGAAAAAAUGAAUUUAUUCUUCAAGGAUUUUACAGUUUUCAGUAACUCCAAACUACUGGUUUUGUUUCAUUGCAAAAAAUGACAUUGGCUGACAUCUGACCUUACUUUUUUUGCCUUUUAUAAAUACGUUUGAUAAUGUUUAUUCAUGUUAAAAAAUAUAUAAAAAUACAAAAAUAAAAGUUUGUUUGCAAUAAAUGAGCUGCA